UACGUAGGGCGCAAGCGUUAUCCGGAAUUAUUGGGCGUAAAGAGCUCGUAGGCGGUUUGUCGCGUCUGCUGUGAAAGACCGGGGCUCAACUCCGGUUCUGCAGUGGGUACGGGCAGACUAGAGUGCAGUAGGGGAGACUGGAAUUCCUGGUGUAGCGGUGAAAUGCGCAGAUAUCAGGAAGAACACCGAUGGCGAAGGCAGGUCUCUGGGCUGUAACUGACGCUGAGGAGCGAAAGCAUGGGGAGCGAACAGG
rnacentral:rRNA from 1 species